rnacentral:rRNA from 1 species
AUAAAAUGCGGCUUUUAUGCUUCUGUUAUUGGAAUGAGAACAAUUUAAAUACCUUAUCGAGUAACAAUUGGAGGGCAAGUCUGGGGCCAGCAGCCGCGGAAAUUCCAGCUCCAAUAGCGUAUAUUAAAGUUGUUGCGGUUAAAGAGCCCGUAGUCGAAUUUCGGGCGGGAUACUUGGGCCGCCCUUAAUGGUCGGAACUGGCAGUGUUGCGCCUUUCCUCCUAGGUUGCUGUUCUUUGUGUAUUUGGCUAGGACUAUCACUUACAAUAAAUUAGAGUGUAUAAAAAAGGCUUAUGCUUGAAUACUUUAGCAUGGAAUAAUAAAAUAAGACUGUGGUUUUAUUUUGGUGGUUUGAAAACCAAAGGAAUGAUAAUAAGGAUUAGUAGGGGGCAUUAGUAUUUCAGGGCUAAAGGGUCAGGGA